AGCAGCCGCGGUAAUUCCAGCUCCAAUAGCGUAUAUUAAAGUUGUUGCAGUUAAAAAGCUCGUAGUUGAAUUUUGGGAUCAAUAUGUUGGUCGUGCCUUGGUACGUACUGGCAUUAUUGGUUUCUACCUUCUGAAGAACCUCGAUGUCAUUAAUUUGGUGUCUUGGGGAAUCAGGACUGUUACUUUGAAAAAAUUAGAGUGUUUAAAGCAGGCUCGCGCUUGAAUACAUUAGCAUGGAAUAAUGAAAUAGGACGUUUGAUUCUAUUUUGUUAGUUUCUAGGAUCGACGUAAUGAUUAAUAGGGAUAGUUGGGGGCAUUAGUAUUCAAUUGUCAGAGGUGAAAUUCUUGGAUUUAUUGAAGACUAACUACUGCGAAAGCAUUUGCCAAGGAUGUUUUCAUUAAUCAAGAACGAAAGUUAGGGGAUCGAAGACGAUCAGAUACCGUCGUAGUCUUAACCAUAAACUAUGCCGACUAGGGAUCGGAUGAUGUUAAUUUUUUAAUGACUCAUUCGGCGCCUUACG
rnacentral:rRNA from 1 species